rnacentral:misc_RNA from 1 species
GAUGAAGAACGCAGCGAAAUGCGAUACUUGGUGUGAAUUGCAGAAUCCCGUGCACCAUCGAGUCUUUGAACGCAAGUUGCGCCCGAAGCCAUUAGGCCGAGGGCACGCCUGCCUGGGCGUCACACGUCGUUGCCCCCCCAUCUACUCCUUCGGGAUUGCGGGGGGCGGAUGAUGGCCUCCCGUGCGCCUCGUCGCGCGGUUGGCAUAAAUGCCAAGUCCUCGGCGACGCACGCCACGACAAUCGGUGGUUGCGAAACCUCGGUUGCCCGUCGUGUGCGGUCGUCGCGCAUCGAGGGCUCGAAAAAAUUGCCGGGCUCCGGCUCGGCUUUCAACGCGACCCCAGGUCAGGCGGGGUUACCCGCUGAAUUUAAGCAUAUCAAUAAGCGGAGGA